UAGCAUAUCAAUAAGCGGAGGAAAAGAAACCAACCGGGAUUGCCUCAGUAACGGCGAGUGAAGCGGCAAGAGCUCAAAUUUGAAAUCUGGCCCCUCCGGGGUCCGAGUUGUAAUUUGCAGAGGAUGCUUCGGGCGCGGCCCCCGUCUAAGUGCCCUGGAACGGGCCGUCAUAGAGGGUGAGAAUCCCGUCUGGGACGGGGUGUCUGUGUCCGUGUGAAGCUCCUUCGACGAGUCGAGUUGUUUGGGAAUGCAGCUCUAAAUGGGUGGUAAAUUUCAUCUAAAGCUAAAUACUGGCCGGAGACCGAUAGCGCACAAGUAGAGUGAUCGAAAGAUGAAAAGCACUUUGAAAAGAGAGUUAAACAGCACGUGAAAUUGUUGAAAGGGAAGCGCUUGCGACCAGACUCGCCCGCGGGGUUCAGCCGGCCUUUGGGCCGGUGUACUUCCCCGCGGACGGGCCAGCGUCGGUUUGGGCGGCCGGUCAAAGGCCCCGGGAAUGUAUCGCCCUCCGGGGCGUCUUAUAGCCCGGGGUGCAAUGCGGCCUGCCCGGACCGAGGAACGCGCUUCGGCACGGACGCUGGCAUAAUGGUCGUAAGCGACCCGUCUUGAAACACGGACCAAGGAGUCUAACAUCUACGCGAGUGUUCGGGUGUCAAACCCGUGCGCGGAGUGAAAGCGAACGGAGGUGGGAGCCCCUCGGGGCGCACCAUCGACCGAUCCUGAUGUCUUCGGAUGGAUUUGAGUAAGAGCGUAAAUGUGGGGGACCCGAAAGAUGGUGAACUAUGCCUGAAUAGGGCGAAGCCAGAGGAAACUCUGGUGGAGGCUCGCAGCGGUUCUGACGUGCAAAUCGAUCGUCGAAUUUGGGUAUAGGGGCGAAAGACUAAUCUAACCAUCUGGUAGCU
rnacentral:rRNA from 1 species